UAGAGAGAGAGAGAGAGACAGAGAGGUAGAGAGAGAGAGAGAGAGGGGAAGUCGUGUGUAGAGAGAGAGAGAGGGGAAUUUUUUUUUUGAAUCGUUAAAAUUGAUGGUCGAAGGGGCACAGUGAGAUGGCCACAGACCAAGAGAUAUCGCAGGCUCUCCAGUCCCUCCUCAGGGGCUCCUCCUCCUCCUCCUCCUCCUCCUCCUCCAGCUCCAGCUCCGGCGCCACCGCCAAGCCCAACGGCCCUCCCCUCAACUCCUUCGGCGACGUCGUCCAGCAGCUCCAGUCCAAGCUCGGCGUCGACCUCUCCCACAAGGUCGACUUCAUCCGCGCCCAGAUCCACUUCCUCUUCCAGUCCUCCUCCGCCCCUCCCCCGCCGCAGCCGCCGCCGCAGCCGCCGCACGUGGUCCUCCCCACCACCACCACCACCACCCCCCGCAGCCGCAGCACCCGCAGCAGCAGCAGCCACCCGCCAAUUUCCACCCCUCCCCCUCUGCCUUCCACUCCUUCCCGCCCGUCCGCCCCGAUCUCCAUGCCCAGCACCAUCCCCAUGUGCACCAGGUCCAGCCGGUCUCCCUUCCGGCCAAGGAAAGCGCUCCGGCUAAAGGCAAAAGAAGAGGUGGCCCUGGGGGACUAAACAAACUCUGCAAUGUUUCUCCAGAGCUUCAGGCCAUUGUCGGUCAGCCGGCAAUGCCUAGAACUGAGAUCGUGAGGCAACUAUGGGCAUAUAUUAGGAAGAACAAUCUCCAAGACCCAAAUAACAAGAGAAAGAUAAUUUGCAAUGAUGAGCUGCGUUUGGUGUUCGAAACAGAUUGCACUGACAUGUUCAAGAUGAACAAAUUACUAGCUAAGCACAUCAGCUCUAUGGAACCCACUAAAGCAUCAGAGUCAAAGAAGCUCAAGGUAGAACCUGAUUCUGGAGUCAGGAGCAGUACUGAAACUGGUCCAUCAGUCAAAAUAUCUGAAGAACUGGCAAACUUUUUUGGGGUUAGCGAGUCAGAGAUGCUUCAGUCAGAAAUCACCAGACGGAUUUGGGAGUACAUAAAUGUCAACCAGCUGCAGGAUCCUCGAAACACGAUGGUGAUUCUCUGUGAUGCAAAGCUUCAAGAGAUUUUUGGAUGUGAAAGAAUUCAAGCCCUUGGAAUACCUGAAGUUUUGGCACAGCGACACCUGAUCAGAAGAUCGUAGUUGAAUGUGUUGGCUGGGGUGCCUUGGUUGCUGGACUUGCUGAAGUAGUUUUUAUGGAUUUCUGCAAUCAGUGUUUUUAGGGGACAAUUUCAGUUUAGUAAUCUCUCUACCUUUGUACAGGAUGAAAAUCUUUUGUCUGAAACGGCACAGUAAUCGUAGUCUCUGCUUUCCUGACAUGGUAUUUUAGGUUAGACCUAUCCUUGGGAAAUUCUAACCCCUGUAAAGUACAAUCGGAGAAACAUGAAUGUGUAAAACUUUGACAUUUUCAUUUGCAAGUAUGAAAUGUUUUCUGUGCAA